AUUAGCUCGUGUCGUGAGAUGUUGGGUUAAGUCCCGCAACGAGCGCAACCCUUAUUACUAGUUGCCAGCAUUUAGUUGGGCACUCUAGUGAGACUGCCGGUGACAAACCGGAGGAAGGUGGGGACGACGUCAAAUCAUCAUGCCCCUUAUGACCUGGGCUACACACGUGCUACAAUGGAUGGUACAACGAGUUGCGAGACCGCGAGGUUUAGCUAAUCUCUUAAAACCAUUCUCAGUUCGGAUUGUAGGCUGCAACUCGCCUACAUGAAGCCGGAAUCGCUAGUAAUCGCGGAUCAGCAGCCGCG
rnacentral:rRNA from 1 species